AAGCGCUUAUGACCAGACUUGCGCUGGGCUGAUCAUCUGGUGUUCUCACCAGUGCACUCGGCCCAGCUCAGGCCAGCAUCGGUUUUGGUGGGGGGAUAAAGGCGCAGGGAAUGUAGCUCCUCCGGGAGUGUUAUAGCCCAGCGUGCAAUACCCCCGCUGGGACCGAGGUUCGCGCUCUGCAAGGAUGCUGGCGUAAUGGUCAUCAGCGA
rnacentral:rRNA from 1 species